rnacentral:rRNA from 1 species
UACGGGGGGAGCAAGCGUUGUUCGGAUUUACUGGGCGUAAAGGGCGCGUAGGCGGGCGCGACAAGUCACUUGUGAAAUCUCUGGGCUCAACCCAGAACGGUCAAGUGAUACUGUCGUGCUAGAGUGCGGAAGGGGCAACUGGAAUUCUCGGUGUAGCGGUGAAAUGCGUAGAUAUCGAGAGGAACACCUGCGGCGAAGGCGGGUAGCUGGGCCGACACUGACGCUGAUGCGCGAAAGCCAGGGGAGCGAACGGG